rnacentral:rRNA from 1 species
GAUGAACGCUGGCGGCGUGCCUAAUACAUGCAAGUCGAGCGAACAGACGAGGAGCUUGCUCCUCUGACGUUAGCGGCGGACGGGUGAGUAACACGUGGAUAACCUACCUAUAAGACUGGGAUAACUUCGGGAAACCGGAGCUACUACCGGAUAAUAUAUUGAACCGCAUGGUUCAAUAGUUAAAGACGGUUUUGCUGUCACUUAUAGAUGGAUCCGCGCCGCAUUAGCUAGUUGGUAAGGUAACGGCUUACCAAGGCAACGAUGCGUAGCCGACCUGAGAGGGUGAUCGGCCACACUGGAGCUGAGACACGGUCCAGACUCCUACGGGAGGCAGCAGUAGGGAAUCUUCCGCAAUGGGCGAAAGCCUGACGGAGCAACGCCGCGUGAGUGAUGAAGGUCUUCGGAUCGUAAAACUCUGUUAUUAGGGAAGAACAAAUGUGUAAGUAACUAUGCACGUCUUGACGGUACCUAAUCAGAAAGCCACGGCUAACUACGUG